rnacentral:rRNA from 1 species
UGGGGAAUAUUGCACAAUGGGGGAAACCCUGAUGCAGCGACGCCGCGUGAGCGGAGAAGGCUUUCGAGUCGUAAAGCUCUGUCCUAUGAGAAGAUAAUGACGGUAUCAUAGGAGGAAGCCCUGGCUAAAUACGUGCCAGCAGCCGCGGUAAUACGUAUGGGGCGAGCGUUGUCCGGAAUUAUUGGGCGUAAAGGGUACGUAGGUGGUUUUUUAAGUCAGGUGUCAAAGCGUGGAGCUUAACUCCAUUAAGCACUUGAAACUGAAAGACUUGAGUGAAGGAGAAGAAAGUGGAAUUCCUAGUGUAGCGGUGAAAUGCGUAGAUAUUAGGGGGAAUACCGGUGGCGAAGGCGGCUAUCUGGACAGUAACUGACGCUGAGGCGCGAAAGCGUGGGGAGCAAACAGG